AAAAACUAAUAUGAUUUUUGAGUUCCUAGCAUGUGGUUUAGGGGGGGUAGCCCCAUUUUCGUGAAGUUAUGGGUCGCGCGUGGAGGAGGCCGCCGCCGUGGGUGGCCGGAACCCCACCGGCGUCACUUUUCAUGGUCGGAUUGUCUUGAGGAAGAAGACAAUCCCAUGGUCGUUGGAUCGCUUUGACUUUAUUUGACUUUUUUUUUUAUCCAAAGGCCCACAAUUUUUCUGAUUUUCGUUUUUAU
rnacentral:lncRNA from 1 species